CCAUGGCUAGGGUUUCGGGCGCCUUCACACUGGCGUUGCCCCGGCGCCUCCGAUGGCGCCUCUCCGACGCCCACCGCGCCUGCACACGCAGCUCCAUCUUCAGAAUGUGCUCCUCCACCCGAUGGCCAUGGGAUGUGCAGGGCAAGGAUUGGAUGCUUGAGGAAGGAGGGGUCGACCUUGCCUUGCUGCAGCUCGGGACACAUCACCCAUGGAGCUUCCUCCUUUCUGUCUCUAGUUACAGGAUAUGCCGCCGCCGCCAGCAAGGUCCCAAGGGUCGCGGUGAGUCUCCCCGGUCGACGUCGCCGUCCGUCUGUGCUCCGAGCUUGACGGUUCCAGUGAGUCAUGGUUGUUCGAGAUUCCGCAAGAAGAUGAUCAAGGGUCGGCGGUACGGCUGCUUCUUCGCCGUCUUCGAUGAGCACCGUCCAACACGAUUUUCCACUCACAUGUUCCAUGGAAUGUCACUGCUUUUAUUAUGGCAUCCAACACUUGUAGAUGUGACUUAAAAGGGGGUUCUGAAGCUGAAGAACUUGGAUGGCCUGACAGUCUAUCAUACUAACAACCAUCUCCAAGUACACAAACUUGAAGAAUUUCUUAGAUUCAUACACAACUUUAGCUAUAGAUACUUGCUUUGUUCUCUAGAAUUCCUAUAUGUUUUAAGCGGAUGAGCUGCACAUAUAUCCAUUAGGAAAUGAUGGAGGUGACCCUAUUUAAAAUGAUGUUUCAGAAUAUAUUUUUGCAGUAAAUAUCAGGGUGCCAGCAACGUUUCUAUUAUGUUUCAGGAGAAGUUUGGAUUUUUUUGGACAGUCAUUGCAACCAUCUUUCUGGAUGAGUAUGAAAACAACACUAUGAGGACAAAGAGGAGAUAAAAGGAGUAUUGGAAAGCUUCAAACCAGUCCCCCAAAACCACUCCGUCUGGAGAAAAAAGAAAAUAUUUGGCAUGAACUGUCCGAUCUACUACACGUAAUUUGGUCUUUUAUUGUGCACACGGUAUAUCUUCAUAUAAAAUAAUCUAGAGGCUUGUUCUCCGAGGCAUAUCAAGCAUGUGUCUGAUGGAGAAGAACGAAGCAAUUCUUCUCUUCUAUUCAAACAGUUGCAAGCAAGAUUCUAAAAUAGUCAAGCUACGC